CAUAUCAGCUAAGUCCAUCUCCCUCCUAAGUCUUCUUCCUCUAAAAUGUCAGUUUGAGUGCAGAGGACGGGGAGGUUCUGGUCCAACCUGGUAUCCAUCCAGAGGGAUGGUGACAGGCAGGCUGCUCUGCCUGGUGUGUUUCCAGCUCUGCAGGAGCCUCUGCUGGGCCUCGAUCUUCUCCUUCUCUCUCUCCACGCUCCUCUGACCCUCCUUCAGUCGCUCCAGGUUCUGCUGGUACUCCUGCAGCUGAGCCUCCAGUUCCUCGCGCUCGCACCUCAGCCUCUCUGCCUCCAGGAGGCAGCACUGCUCCCUCUCUUCCAGCCCGCUCUCCUGCUCAAGCUGCGGAACAGAUGCACAGCCAUUGCAUGACGACCACCUGUUUAACUACUUCAGCUCCUGUGGAGUGAUCCAGAAUCAAUCCUGACAGAAGUACCUGGCUGCUCUGGAGGCUGAUGGCGCUCCUUACUUGAGGCUUCUCGGCCUCCUGAAGGAGAAGUUUGUGGACCUCAGUGCAGCUGUCCUGAAGAGUCACAGCUGCCUGCACACGAGAGGAACGCCUCAGACUUCAUUUUUCGCGUCUAAAAUUGAGGUUCAAACCACUGAUUUAAACAUUACCUGGAGACUGUAGAGGAGCUGAGUCAAACUCUGGACACUCUCCACCACCUGCAGGUGAAACAUGUUAGUGCACAUUCAUGAAGGAGUCAUUUCAAAACAGGAGUAGGACCUUGUGGAGCGUGUCUUUGGCAUCUCCUCUCCUCAGUUCUGCUCCAGAGCUCCACAUCACUCCGUCCAGUCCCGUCAAAUCACCUUCAGACGCCAGAGACGUGGAGCUCACGCUGAGCGUGCUGAGAUAGUCUUCUGCGGAACAAGAUCACAUGACCUCAGCUACAGCUCGACAUCGGACCACGUUAUCUUUCUGCCACUUACGUUCUGACGGAGACUCCGGCACGCUGCUGCCAUGGCUGUUGUAGUUGCUGCUGCCAGGUCCUUGGACAGACAGAGGCAGGAUCUGCUGGGAAACCCCGUCCCGAGUCUGGAUGAGCUGGAUCAGGUUCUCGGCUGCAGAGUGUGAUGGGCUAGUGACCUGUCCAGGGUGCCCUCCUCCCUCCAUCCUUCAGCAAUCAGCUCAAAAGCCGCCUUGACUCACACCUGGACUGCACCAGCCUCACCUUCUCUGAGCGCAGCGGUCAGCAGGCUUCUGGCCUGUCGGGGAGCGUCGCCGUCACUCUCUGGCUGCACCAGGAGGUGGCGGUGUUGCACAGCUUCCGGGGAGCGCAGAGUGAGACAUGCGUCAACUUCCUUGUAGGUCAUGUGAUCAGCUUCAUCAAAUGACUUUGCAAACCUUGGAACUUGGCAAUCUUCUGGACUCUGACUUCUGCUGCUCGCUUGGCCUCUUCUGUUUCUGCUGUUUGCUCUUCCUCCUCCUCUUCCUCUGGGCAGCUGGUGAGAGGUAAGCAGGAGGCCGUGUGGAUUUCAUACAUCUCCGGUCCAACAGAGGAAGCUGAGAUGAGGAACAUCCCUCGCUCUUCGUUGGCAACUUCUCUCACAAUCAGCUUCUGUAGAGGGAUCACUGGAGGCUUCUGGUCCUGCAGGAAAACCAGUACGUCAGUGAGCAGCAGAGCCAGAGUGUCUGAAGAGGAAUGAAGAUAACAUGAGGUUUUCAGAACUUUUCAUUGCACACUGACAAUGUCCCACCAACCUUUGAGUCGUCCGGUCGCCGUCUUCCAGUAGACCAGCCCCUUGUGCUGCAGCUCCCGGCGCUCCCUCUGCAGGUCUUGUUUGCGGACCACUUUCCCAUUCUUCAGCUUGGCGAAGCUUUUGUUCUCCAGUCGCGUCAGAACCUCCUGAAGCUCUUGACUCUUCUCAUACUUGGAGACAGCCAGGUCCACUGCAGUGAUGAUGUCACGGAUCUGAGCCAGUGCACUCGACAGGUCGGCAUGUUCCUGACUGCCCUCUGAGGAGACACAAGUGAUGUGAGAAUGCUGACCUCUAUCUCAGUCUUCCACUCACACACAGUUACACGGUAGUAGGAUUCGACGCAGUAUGCAAUCUUAAGUAUAGAAGAAGAAUUCAAGUAUUUAGGUUUAUCAUCUUGGAACUGAAUCAAUUGUAUCAUGAUCAAUUGUGUGAGGUGUCGAUGUCAAAAAGACACAAACACAUUAGGAUCCAGGGUCAAACCGCCAACUACGCGGGCCACAUGCAGAUGUGGUUUGAUUCUAGACUCACCUGGAGUGUAGCGGAUUAUCCUCUCCAGCAGCACCGGGUACUUGGUGAUCCGCUGCGUGACCAACAGGAUGAACUCUGGAACUCCUCUCCGUCUGACCAGCGAGUUGUUGCUCUGUUGCUGGGGGGGGGGGACAAAUCAUCAUCAACAUCGCUCAUUAAGAUUCAAAGCCUCAAUGUGGUGGCUGCAGAAGUCGGCGUACAGCUGCUUCAUCUUCUCUGCAUUCUCAUCUGAGAACUAGAGACGAGCAUGCGCUCCUAAGAAGCUCUGGUGGAACAGCACUAGAGGGUCCAAACUGGGGAAGAUGCGUGACACAAUCUCAGCGUCCAGUUGAACUUCCUCCAGCAUUCCUCUGCGGAAGACCUCUGACAUGACGAAGUCCGGACACACGGCGAGACUCCACGACUCAGCUUCUAGUCCAAUCAGAGACAGAGAGACUUUUGGACAGAGCAGCUGAAUCUUUCCUCUCUCGGAUGAUGGCAGGAAGUGAUGUGGAGGAGGGGACAGGGGAAACCGGGCUGCUCUCCUUUUGGGAGCCUAGAGCAGCAAGAUGGGAAAUAAGAAUCUUAUUUUCCCCAGA